rnacentral:lncRNA from 1 species
CUGGUCAUCGUCAGCGGCCUGCAAGUAGUAGUAGGCACCUCCCGAGUAGUAGCAGUUGUCAUCGAUAGUAGCGUCUGGCUCCUGGACUCCAACGUUUGGUCGCAGCAAUCGGGUACAGAAAGGGGAAAAGGGGGAGCAAAGCAACCGUGAGUACUCAUCCAAAGUACUCGCAAGCAAGGAGCUACACUACAUAUGUAUGCAUUGGUAUCAAAUGAACAAGGGGUAGCAUAUGUGGACUGAACUGCAGAAUGCUGGAAUAAGAGGGGGAUAGCUAGUCCUGUCAAAGACUAUGCUUAUGGUAACCUCCAUCUUGUAGCAGAAGACGAGAGUAGAUGGUAAGUUCACCAAGUAACAUCGCAUAGCAUAAUCCUAACCGAUUAUCCUCCCCUCGUCGCCCUGUGAGAGAGCGAUCACCGGUUGUAUCUGGCACUUGGAAGGGUGUGUUUUAUUAAGUAUCCGGUUCUAGUUGUCAUAAGGUCAAGGUACAACUCCAAGUCGUCCUGUUACUGAAGAUCACGACUAUUUGAAUAGAUUAAAUUCCCUGCAGGGGUGCACCACAUUUCCCAACAUGCUCGAUCCCCUUUGUCCAUACACACUUUUCUGGGUCAUGCCCGGCCUCGAAAGAUCAACACGUCGCAGCCCUACCUAAGCACAACAGAGAGGUCAGCACGCCGGUCUAAAUCCUACGGCGUAGGGGUCUGGGCCCAUCGCCCAUUGCACACCUGCACGUUGCGUACGCGGCCGGAAGCAGACCUAGCCCCCUUAAUACAAGCGUGAGCUUACGGUCCAAUGCGGCGCGCGCCGCUCAGUCGCUGACGUCACGAAGGCUUUGGCUGAUACCACGACAUCGAGUGCCCAUAACUGUUCCCGCGUAGUUGGUUAGUGCGUAUAGGCCAGUGGUUAGAGUCAGAUCAAAUACCCAGAUCUUGUUAAGCGUGUUAUUUUGAAAUAACCGCGGACGCCGACCAGGCCAGGCCCACCUCUCUCCUAGGUGGUCUCAACGUACCCUGUCGCUCCGCCACAAAGAUCCACUCAGAGGGCCGUCGGGACAAACGUCCUUUUGGACCCAAUCCGUGAAUCACUCGCGGGUACUCUUUGAGCCGACCCAUCUUUAGUCAGCACAAGUAUCAUAUAUUAGGUAUAAGUAUAUACCCAUGAUCACCUCCCGAGUGAUCACGGCCCGAUAGUUUAGCAUGGCAGACUGACAAGAAUGUAGGGCCACUGAUGAUAAACUAGCAUCCUAUACUAAGCAUUUAGGAUUGCAGGUAAGGUUUCAACAGCUGUAGCAACAAUGAUAGGCUAUGCAUCAGAAUAAGAUUAACGGAAAGCAGUAACAUGCCACACUACUCUAAUGCAAGCAGUAUAGAGAAGAGUAGGUGAUAUCUGGUGAUCAAGGGGGGUCUUGCCUAGUUGCUUUGGCAAGAGAGAGGGGUCGUCAACACCGUAGUCGUACUGGGUAGCAGCGGCGUCGGUCUCGGUGUCUAGCGAGAGAAGAGGGGGGAAGAAACAAUAAAUAUCAAGCAAACAGAUGCAUAGCGAUGCAUGAUAUGACAAGUAUCGGUGCUAGGGGUGCCCUAACGCGGUAUGAGGUGGUACGGGUGAAGGGGGGAAACAUCCGGGAAAAUAUCCCUGGUGUUUUGCGUUUUCGGACAGAUGAACCGGAGGGGCAAAGUUGCGCGUUUGCUAUGCUAGGGAUGUGUGAUGGACGAACGAGUUGCGUAUCCGGAUACGUCUCGUCCUUUUGAGCAACUUUCAUGUAGAAAAUAUUUUCAUCCGAGCUACGGUUUAUUUGAUAUUAAUUUUCAAAGUUUAUCUAUUUUUUGGAAUUAAUUUAAGUAUUUAAAUUCGAAUUAUCCAAAACAGUGACUUGUGAUGUCAGCAUGACGCCAGCACUGUGUCAGCGGUCAGCUGACCGGUUGACCAGUCAACAGGGCCCCCAAGGGACCCACUGGCAGUGACUGGGCAUUGCCCAGUCAGCCGUUGACUGGGUCAACAGGGCCUAUGGGGUCCGUUGCCAGUGACCCAGGGAGGGUCUACAUGGUGGGGCCACAUCGGCGGGCCGGUGUUUGAGGCUGGCGACCACGGGGGCGCGGCGGAUGCCACUGGAGGGCGAUGGGCGCGCGUCACCGGCGGCCGUUGGGCGCGUGGAGGGGGGAACCGAUCCCGAGCGAGGUGCCGCAUCGGGCGGUGGUGGCGGCUUGCCGGGGACGGCCGAGAAGGCCACCGACGGCGAGCUGGAGGGUGAGGGCGUGCGCAGGCGAAGUGGGGGGAGGUGCGCAGGCGAAGCGGUGGCGUGGCACGGGCGUAGCCAGGCCACGGCCAGAGGCGACACCGGGCGCGCGGGACUGGUCUGCAGAGGCGGGAGAGGCUGCCGACAGCAAGAGAGGGGCGGCGCCGGUGCGGCCUGGCGCGGCGGAGCCGAGGCGGGAGGCGGGGCGAGUGGUGGGGUGCUCGGGCGGGGGCGGCCGCAGUGCAGCGGCAUCGCACGGGGGCGGCGGCGGCAAGCGUGGACGCGCGCAACGAGCACGCGAGCGCGGCCAAGGCGCGGGCGAGCGCGUGAGAGCGGAGCAGCGAGCGGGCACGGGAGAGGGACUCCGGACGCAGCAACGAUGGGCUCGCGAUGGCACCGACGAACGCGUGCGAUUUGGGCAGCUCAGACACGAUGAGCCCGAGCUAAUGGCCACGGCGGGAAAACUAGCUAGAGGACGACCGCGAGAGGGAGAAUCGAGAGGAAAGUAGAGGAGCUCACAACGAGUCUUACGUAGGCGAAGGAGAGGUCGGGGAAGGCUUGACAGCAAAGCAAUCGAAGACGGGCAUCCGACGGAUCUGAGGUUGAAGAAGAGCACGAUGGCGACCGUGUGGCAGGAGGCUGCUCGAACCCGUGCCCGUAGUUGACAAAGACGAAGAUGGCACUCAUCCUGGACACGGCAGCGUAGCUCGGGGUGGUCGGUAGCCACGUCAACGACAAGGCGCGGCGACAGGUGCGCUCGGCCUCGUGGGGGAAAGAGAGGGAGAGAGCGUGGGAGCAGCAGGGGGCACUAGUGAAAG